AUGUUAUUACAGACAACACAACAAGAAAAUAAAAAUCAUGCUUGGAGCAAAAACAAAAACAAAAACUCUGGUUUACUCCUCUGCAUGCUUCAUCCGCCGCCAUUCAUCAUACUUCCACCUCCUCUUCUCUCUGGAACCAUCGCCUACACCCUCCUUACGCCACUGUCGGAGCUCUCUCACCCUCUAUUCAUCACUCUUCUUUCAUCAAAAGAUUUGAGAUUUGGAAUCAGAAAGGAAAGAUGGACAAGAGUGAUAAAAAAUGUUUGA